ACGGGGUGUUAGGGCACGACACCGGAGAGGGAGCCUGAGAAACGGCUACCACAUCCAAGGAUGGCAGCAGGCGCGCAAAUUACCCAAUCCCGACACGGGGAGGWAGUGACAAUAAAUUAACAAUACGGGGUUCUUUCGGAUCUCGUAAUUGGAAUGAGUACAAUUUAAAUCUCUUAACGAGGAACAAUUGGAGGGCAAGUCUGGUGCCAGCAGCCGCGGUAAUUCCAGCUCCAAUAGCGUAUAUUAAAGUUGUUGCAGUUAAAAAGCUCGUAGUUGAAUUUCGGGGUUAGUAGAUUGGUCAUGCCAUCGGUAUGUACUGGUCUCACUGAUUCCUCCUUCCUGAUGAGCCGUAAUGCCAUUAAUUUGGUGUUGCGGGGAAUUUGGACUGUUACUUUGAAAAAAUUAGAGUGUUUAAAGCAAGCUAACGCUUGAAUACAUUAGCAUGGAAUAAUGAAAUAGGACGUUCGAUCCUAUUUUGUUGGKUUUCUAGGAUUGACGUAAUGAUUAAUAGGRAUAGUUGGGGGGCAUUAUAUUCAUUUGUCAGAGGUGRAAUUUCUUGGAUUUAUUGAAGA
rnacentral:rRNA from 1 species